CAUGUGUCACGAAUAGAGAAUUUCAUAAUUUCAGGUGUAGGAUGACUUGCUACAUCCUUGGCUGAUAAUUUCUGUGAUAGUCUUGGCUCUUCAGCUCCUCUAGUAAGAGCAAGAAAGAUCUGCUGAAGAGAAUUUUUCUGAUUAAUAUUUUUGAAACAUACUUAAUUCUUUUCCUAUUCUCAACUCAUAGACAUAGCGCCCAUCUAAAGUCACUCUCACUGUGGCAGUUCUGAAUGUCGAUUGAAGAAUAUCUCCUGGUUUUCAGUCUUGCAGAAAAUAAAAUGAUGAUGUGCAUUCAGCAAUAAAAUAUCAGUUUACCCAGGCUGUGAGUUGCCUGACAUCUGGUUGAAACAUGGAAGAUGAUGACCAUCUCUGCUAAUUGCCUCAUUAAAUACAUGUCGGCGCAAAUGAUCCUAUCAGAAGACGCAGAAAAGAAAUCCACCCUUGAGUUAACCUGAUGACCAAUAACCUCUGUAAUCUCAGCAGACAAAGGCCAGUAGCAGAAACACCAGCCCAGAGACAGCUUGAUUAAAACAAGAGGAAUCGCACAAGGGGUGUGUCUGCCUCUCAGGGAGGAAGCCGUGAUUAGAAUCUGCUGCAGUCUGAAAAUCCAGUAUCUCAGUUAGGAUCUGACUUGGAGUUUGAAGAAGCAAAAUAAACCAUGUUCAGGAGAGCAGAAUCUUCACCUGCCAACACCUGCUUUCCAGGAAAAAGAAAAAUGGGGAAGAGGAUCACAUACAAGUGGCAGAAAUACAGCAAGAGGAAAGAAAAGGACAGAAAGGAUGGACUUGUUUCUCUGACCAGGAGGUAGGGGGUGGAAAUGAAGCCAAUGGAAGAACAUCGAUGUGCUAUUGCGCUGACCUCCAUGUCCAAGCCAAGACUUUGAGUCUCCCUUAUGCCCAUGGUUACCAGGAGAAGUGGCACAGUGAUCUGUAAGUCAUCUAAUUGUGGCUUCUCCUUCUUAAUUGUAUUUUUCAUCUGCUAUUAAAAUGAAUUUGCA